rnacentral:rRNA from 1 species
CAGCAGCCGCGGUAAUACGAAGGGGGCGAGCGUUGCUCGGAAUGACUGGGCGUAAAGGGCGCGUAGGUGGCGUGCACAGUCAGAUGUGAAAUUCCUGGGCUCAACCUGGGGGCUGCAUUUGAUACGUGCGUGCUAGAGUGUGGAAGAGGGUCGUGGAAUUCCCAGUGUAGAGGUGAAAUUCGUAGGUAUUGGGAAGAACACCGGUGGCGAAGGCGGCGACCUGGUCCAUUACUGACGCUGAGGCGCGAAAGCGUGGGGAGCAAACAGGAUUAGAUACCCCCGUAGUCCCUGUCUCUUUACA